UGCAAGUCGAACGGAAACGAUGCUAGCUUGCUAGCAGGCGUCGAGUGGCGGACGGGUGAGUAAAGUAUAGGAACUUGCCUAAUAGUGGGGGACAACGUGUGGAAACGCACGCUAAUACCGCAUACGCUCUACGGAGGAAAGCGGGGGAUCUUCGGACCUCGUGCUAUUAGAUAGGCCUAUAUAGGAUUAGCUAGUUGGUAAGGUAAUGGCUUACCAAGGCGACGAUCCUUAGCUGGUUUGAGAGAAUGAUCAGCCACACUGGGACUGAGACACGGCCCAGACUCCUACGGGAGGCAGCAGUGGGGAAUAUUGCACAAUGGGCGCAAGCCUGAUGCAGCAAUGCCGCGUGUGUGAAGAAGGCCUUCGGGUUGUAAAGCACUUUCAGACGUGAGGAAAAGUUAAUAGUUAAUAACUGUUAACCCUGACGUUAACGUCAGAAGAAGCACCGGCUAACUCCGUGCCAGCAGCCGCGGUAAUACGGAGGGUGCAAGCGUUAAUCGGAAUUACUGGGCGUAAAGCGCGCGUAGGCGGUUAUUUAAGUCAGAUGUGAAAUCCCUGGGCUCAACCUAGGAACUGCAUUUGAUACUGGAUAACUAGAGUAUGGUAGAGGUGAGUGGAAUUUCAGGUGUAGCGGUGAAAUGCGUAGAGAUCUGAAGGAACAUCAGUGGCGAAGGCGACUCACUGGGCCAUUACUGACGCUGAGGUGCGAAAGCGUGGGUAGCAAACAGGAUUAGAUACCCUGGUAGUCCACGCCCUAAACGAUGUCAACUAGGUGUAUGGUGCAAGUCGAUGCAAGUCGAUGCAAGUCGAUGCAAGUCGAUGCAAGUCGAGAGUACGG
rnacentral:rRNA from 1 species